UCAUCAUCUGAGGCAGCAAUUUCUCCAUUUUGUGUAUGGGCCCGCUUCGUUGCUUUCUUAUAACUAUUGAUCACAUGGGUGCAGAACCUUUCACAGCUUCAUGAAUUCUUUCUUUACCUUUCAAAAUCGUUGACACAGUCGAGUGUGAUAACUUCGUAUCAUGUGCAAUCACAUUCACUUUCUUUCCUCCUUCGUACUGCU